ensembl:lncRNA
AGUUUGUUGUCAUGUUUGCCUUUUGCUGCCAGCAGGUUCAAAUCAGCCUUUUUUAAUAUUUUCUCAGUUUAAACAUUUGAUGUUUUUUCUCAGUCGUCUUGAGAUUUUGUUUCAUUUCUGAGAUCAUCACAUUCUUUCAGUGCCAUGAUCCACAGACAGGACAGACUCAAAGACAUCAAACUCAUGUUUGGAUCUGUGUUCGUUCAUUAUCUGAUGCUCGUCAGCUGCAGAAAUCCUCUCAGGAAAAGAGUUUCAGCUCUUCUUCAGGGUCACAGUGAUGCGUUCAGGAACACCUGUGAAACACAGCAAACUGAGUUCUGCUUCUCUCAGUGGGACGCUCGAGUGUUUGGGUCCCUCUGUGGUUCACUUUGCUGGCCUCUAGUGGGCACGAGGUGAACUCAUCAUGUUGGUGUCAGCUGUAUUUGACAGCAGCCACCAGUCUGCAGUUCUGUAUUUGAACCUUUGAAUCUCCACAAGUGCAGAUAUGAAACACAGCUGGGAAUGAUUCCUUUUGUGUAUGUGGACGUAGUCUGUGGGUGGCAGUAAUGGGGGUGCCCCACCUUUUCCCCUAUGACAGCCUCCCCCACUUAACCCUGAGCUGGACAAAGAGAAAACGACGUCUUGUAUUUGGCAGCUGUUACAUCAGACACUGUGACACAAACACCUGAUGACUGAACAGGUUUCCUGACAAACUCAUUUUUAUUUUGCUCUGAGACAUUUUCACUCACACAGCCAAGGGCGCAGAUUUGGCACGGACGGAAGGGACGUGUCCCCACCAAUAAUUUGAUCUCUCCGAGUAAAGAAAAACAACCCGAUAGAAAGAAAGAAAACGAUCUCCCAGCGGUGCAGAAAGAGUUAAAUUACGUUCUCUACUGGAGUGCUACGUCAUGUGACAAAUAUGGCCAAUGUGAUUGGCUGAGCCUUUCAGGGAGCUCUGUUUAGUUUUAGCAGCGGCAAGCCUGCGCUGUGAGGAGGAGAGGAGGAUGGCAGCAAAGAGGAAGAACCUGGAUAUAAGAAAGUAUUUUUGAAAGAAACCUAUGAGGAGAAAAGAGUCCAGGCACCACCCUGCCCAGGGGUCGGCUGCAAGCAGUCUCGGUUCCCGAUGAAAGCAGUAACAGCUGUCCUGCACACACGGAUACAACGAGUUAGUGCAACCAGGGUAGUGACACAAAAUUAACAGUUCCUGUAACUCAGCAACCAAAAAGCAUAAGUAAUGAUAAAAAUGUGGAGAGUACAGAGUAUACUAUAAUAAUGAGAGAUAUAAACGUGAAAAUGUGAAAGAAUAAAUCAACCGUAAAAUAAACACAGAACGGUAACUGCUAAGGACAUUCAAAAGUGAAUAUGGUAAAACGUGAGGAAGGGGUGUGGAAAAAAAACAAUUUAUAUCCAGUGGUGGGAGUACACAUUCGCUCAGGCUUAAGUCCGGAGACCCUGAGAACAUCGCUUAACCCUCACAACCCGACCAGACACAGUUCAACCAGAUAUAUCCUUCAAGAGGAAGUGGGUGAGGGAAACAAUUAAUAACAAGCCUAAUACAAAACACCACAGAGAAACAACCAUUCUAGAAGCAUUUAAACAAGAGAAAGACGAUAAUGUUCGUCACCCUCACGAUCAGAGUUUUCAUCAUCCGUUGGCGAGGAGGUAACCGUGUCUCGUUUCUUUCUAAAUGGAUCGGGCGUGGGCAAAACUGGAGAGGAAGUGGUGGGCAAGACCCUAGGGGCUACAUUUGUCAGAUUGGGACUGUCAGAAGGGGGCGGAGCUUUUGAACUUGAAGGUGUCAGAAGUGUCGGGGGCCCUUCACAGAUCAGGAUUAUGCCAAUGGGAAUGAGACCCAGGGCCAGGAAGCAAACAAAGACGCAACAUCUUUGCCUGCCUGUCAUUUCAGGGGGAAAGGGCCAAGACAUGUUUACUUAGCUUGGAUGUCGUCUAAUAGAGGAUGAUGGGGCACAGAAAGGUGGUCCAGUUCCCCCCACCUCGCCAAGGGCGUGUUCUAGGAGUUAAAGAGCAACAACCUGAGAGAGAGAGAGAGAGAGAGAGAGAGAGAGAGAGAGAGAGAGAGAGAGAGAGAGAGAGAGAGAGAGAGAGAGAGCCCCUAAUGGCCAGUUAGUGGGCUCUAGGUCAAACUGUCCCCAAAUUUG